CUGGGUUCUGUUGUUGGCAACCAACAGAGUUGUUGUCUUUUCUCGCAUUCAUUAAAAUGCACAAGAAGAAAUUUCUAAUGGUGAGGGAGUACUUGCUUCAAAUUCAUACUUCAGUGAAAUAAACAACACCAUACAUAGGAAUGUGAAAGCAAAGUCAUCAUACACUGUUUGCUUCAUUGUAUGAGAAUCAAUGUUUGCAUGAUAAACUGCCCUAAUGGAAGAGGACUCUGAGUUACCUUUUUCGAGCAAAGCCACCUAGGUUACUCUGUUUUCCCCAGAGUGACCCUUCUGUUCUGCAAAUUUUCAGAUUGAAGGGAGUAGCAGUAGAGUAUCAGAAGUAUCAGAAGCAAAAAAGUAAAUGUAUGAUUUGAGAUGAAACAACUGAGGGCCAAAAAGUUUACAAAAUUUUCCAAGAUCAUACAGCUAAUUAACAACAUCUGGGCUCUUCUUGACUUUUGGAAUCCAAAAGGUGCUACCAGCAUCCCAAGGUGUCCAGCUUGUAGACAGCCUGUCGUGGGACUUCUCAACCUCCAUAAUUGUAUAACCUCAAAGUAAUGGGAGAAGAUACACAAGUGAUCAUUGCCAGGACUGAAGACUGUUCCUAGGACUACUAUUUGGAUCAACAGAAGCUGAAAAUGAGAAUAUCAAAGGCUGGGCAGAUAGUUUCACUCACGGGCAUUGAUCAGGAUGGCUGGAGGUCACCUGCUGCAAGAAGCACUGUGUUUUCUGUGCAGCUUAAUGAGAGGGAGCAUAUCAUUUCAGGACUCUCACAGGAUGCAGUGUUACUGAGAAUCUCAUGAGGCAAAUCCUAAAUGCCAGGAUAAAUUUGCAGAGAUAGAACUACUACUUUUUUUUUUUAAAUUUCCUUUUGUUAUGACUUGAACGUGUAAGGUCAUGCUUCGAGCCUGCUAUCCUAUAGCUCUCAAUUCUAAACUAGUUGCAAGUAUAUUGGACUUCUUGCCCUGACCCCUGUCCCUUUGAUAGGCCAGGUGAAUCCAAAUAUGCCCGAGUGCAUCUCACAGAAUACAUCUGAUUCUAGGAUGGGACUAGAGGUCUCCUGGUAUUUAGAACUGCAAAAUGAGGUAGCAAAAGCUCUAGUCAUAUGCCUCCCAUUUAUUUGACAUAUCAUCACAAACAUGUCCAUAAUUUACCAAGGUUGAUCCACUGCCUACUACAUUUGUGUGUGAAAAUGUGUCAUGCUUUGUGGAAAAAGUGAAAAUAGUUAUCUGUAUGGUGGGUGCACUUUGAGUGACUGGGGUGGGGUAUGAGCACUGUCUUACAAAAAAGUCAAGAGUAAUAUCUGACAAAGAUACUGUCCUUUACCCUGGAUACCAACAGAUGUUCUUGUUUUCAUUCAAAAUUACAAUUAUCAUUGAAGUGCACAGUGGCUUUUAAUUGAGACAGAUAAAACGUAACUUCAAGUAUUGAAGUAAUUUUUUUUUACUGUUUUUAAGACAACUGAAGAUCUGAGCAAUUCUUGGCAUGACUUUUCUCCAUUCAGUUUAGAUUUUUGUGAUAAAAGGCGACUAUAAUAAAGAGAAUGGUAAAGGAAAAUAUCUAACAUGGAAUUUAUAUCUAAUCUUCUUGAAAGUUAUGAACACUUGUUAAUCCUUAAUUUCAACUCUUGAGAUUUCAUCUGAUUUGAGAUAUUCCU
rnacentral:lncRNA from 1 species